GUCUGCCACUACUUGUUUAGGUUCCGUCAGCAACCCUUUGGAGGAAGCAUUACUUUUUGAGAUGUCUGCUAUAAAGAAAGAGAUUCGUGCUUUAGAGGACUCAAUUGCUGCCAAAGAAUUGGAUCUUCAGGAGGUUUCUGUUAGGAAGGAAUACAUGGGACAGGAUUCUGAGGGCAGACUCUACUGGACGUUUGGCAGGUCCACUUCUUCAAGAUUAGUAGCUUAUGCAAGUACAAGUACACAGCCGGAGUCAUCUGGAC
rnacentral:misc_RNA from 1 species